rnacentral:lncRNA from 1 species
AAAUAACAUUUUAUUUUUCAGCUCAAAUUGGUUAAGCAAAGGAUAAUUAUAUGUAAGGGUGGAUAGAAAGGCUCAAAGGGACCAAGGAACAUGCCUCGUGCGUGCUACAAAAGUACCAAUCAAAUAAAAAGACGACAAGCAAAAUCGAGAGACAAUACAUGAGUGGAUAUCACACAUAGAAGAAAAAGGAGUGUUUGGCUCAAUACCUCUCGGCUGGGUCGAAUCAAAGAGCCGGUCAAAAAGUGUGCGUUCCCUUCCUUUGCCUCUUGAUCACAUGAGUGCAACAAGCUAUUGCACUGCAGGUUUCACAAAUC